GACGAACGCUGGCGGCGUGCUUAACACAUGCAAGUCGAACGGAAAGGCCCUGCUUUUGUGGGGUGCUCGGGUGGCGAAGGGGUGAGUAACCUGUGGGUAACCUGCCCUUGACUUUGGGAUAACUUAAGGAAACUGGGGCUAAUACCGGGUAGGAGCUCUUGCUGCUUGGGGGGGGUGGGAAAGUUUCGGCGGUUGGGGAUGGACUCGCGGCUUAUCAGCUUGUUGGUUGGGUAGUGGCUUACCAAGGCUUUGCCGGGUAGCCGGCCUGAGAGGGUGACCGGCCACAUUGGGACUGAGAUACGGCCCAGACUCCUACGGGAGGCAGCAGUGGGGAAUAUUGCACAAUGGGCGGAAGCCUGAUGCAGCAACGCCGCGUGCGGGAUGACGGCCUUCGGGUUGUAAACCGCUUUCGCCUGUGACGAAGCGUGAGUGACGGUAAUGGGUAAAGAAGCACCGGCUAACUACGUG
rnacentral:rRNA from 1 species